CUCUACUCUGUUGAACGCCUAUUCUACUCGUAAAGGGGAGAGCCCUGGUGCUUAAUGGGUUAAAUAAGAUCGUAUAGUUAUAUGUAUAUCAUGUAUUAUGUUUUUAUGUAGUCUGCCUGAAUCACUUGUACCAGGCUAUGGAAAUUCAUGUUUCCAAUUUUGUAUUUAUUUUUCUUAUGAUACAGCAUACUGUAAAUUUGAAUAAUAUUUGUGAGCUUAUAGUGAGCUUAUUUUUAGGAGAGUUUGUUGCGAGGCAGCAUAUAUUUUGAUUUUUCAAAAUAUUACUGUAUAUUGGUAUGUUAUACUUAAUAUUAGAAUGUUAGGGUUUGGAAUCCAAGUGAGAAUAUAUACAUUUUAAGACCUAACCAGGAACGACUGCGAAAAAUGCAGCACAAGGUCCUCUGGUAGGAAUCAAACCUACGGCCCUGCGAUUCCGGUGCAGCGCUCUAACCAACUGAGCUACAGAGGCCAGCCGUUAAGCUGUAACCGUUAAGUUCAUGUAUAUAUAGGUAAUCAGGUGUGCGGGUUGUGAUAAGGUGGACUUCAUGACUUAGAUUCUGCACUUCACUUGGUGGAAUUAAUAUUAGAAUGAAUCCAAGUGAGAAUAUAUACAUUUUAAGACCUAACCAGGAACAACUGCAAAAAAUGCAGCACAAGGUCCUCUGGUAGGAAUCAAACCUACGGCCCUGCGAUUCCGGUGCAGCGCUCUGAGCUACAGAGGCCAGCUGUUAAGCUGUAACCGUAAGUUCAUGUAUAUAUAGGUAAUCGGGUGUGUGAGUUGUGAUAAGGUGGACUUCAUCAUGAUUCUAAUAUUAAUUCCACCAAGUGAAGUGCAGAAUCUAAGUCAUGUUAUA